rnacentral:rRNA from 1 species
AGCGGCCGAUAUCAGAUUAGCUAGUUGGUGAGGUAAAGGCUCACCAAGGCGACGAUCUGUAGCGGGUCUGAGAGGAUGAUCCGCCACACUGGAACUGAGACACGGUCAGACUCCUACGGGAGGCAGCAGUGGGGAAUUUUGGACAAUGGGGGCAACCCUGAUCCAGCCAUGCCGCGUGAGUGAAGAAGGCCUUCGGGUUGUAAAGCUCUUUCGGCCGGGAAGAAAUCGUAUGGGUUAAUACCCUGUGCGGAUGACGGUACCGGCAUAAGAAGCACCGGCUAACUACGUGCCAGCAGCCGCGGUAAUACGUAGGGUGCGAGCGUUAAUCGGAAUUACUGGGCGUAAAGCGUGCGCAGGCGGUUUUGUAAGACAGGCGUGAAAUCCCCGGGCUCAACCUGGGAACUGCGCUUGUGACUGCAAGGCUAGAGUAUGGCAAAGGGGGGUGGAAUUCCACGUGUAGCAGUGAAAUGCGUAGAGAUGUGGAGGAACACCAAUGGCGAAGGCAGCCCCCUGGGCCAAUACUGACGCUCGUGCACGAAAGCGUGGGUAGCAAACAGGAUUAGAUACCCUGGUAGUCCACGCCCUAAACGAUGUCAACUAGGUGUUGGGUGGGUAAAACCAUUUAGUACAGGAGCUAACGCGUGAAGUUGACCGCCUGGGGAGUACGGCCGCAAGGUUAAAACUCAAAGGAAUUGACGGGGACCCGCACAAGCGGUGGAUGAUGUGGAUUAAUUCGAUGCAACGCGAAAAACCUUACCUACCCUUGACAUGUCCAGGAGCCUGAAGAGAUUUGGGUGUGCCCGAAAGGGAACUGGAACACAGGUCUGCAUGGCUGUCGUCAGCUCGUGUCGUGAGAUGUUGGGUUAAGUCCCGCAACGAGCGCAACCCUUGUCGUUAAUUGCCAUCAUUUAGUUGGGCACUUUAACGAGACUGCCGGUGACAAACCGGAGGAAGGUGGGGAUGACGUCAAGUCCUCAUGGCCCUUAUGGGUAGGGCUUCACACGUCAUACAAUGGUCGGUACAAAGGGUUGCCAACCCGCGAGGGGGAGCCAAUCCCAGAAAGCCGAUCGUAGUCCGGAUUGCAGGCUGCAACUCGCCUGCAUGAAGUCGGAAUCGCUAGUAAUCGUGGAUCAGCAUGUCACGGUGAAUACGUUCCCGGGUCUUGUACACACCGCCCGUCACACCAUGGGAGCGGGUUCCGCCAGAAGUAGGUAGCCUAACCGCAAGGGGGGCGCUUACCACGGCGGGGUUCGUGACUGGGGUGAAGUCGUAACAAGGUA